CCAUAGAGCUAAAAAGAGUCGCGACACUCCCAUUGGACUCCGUUGUACGCUGUUUGCCGCCCACUUCCGGGGUAUGCAGCCUCGCAUAGUUCCAAAAAGCCAUUCUAUUGCGUCGGACAUCAUUCACUUCCAUUGCUGACUCCCGAGUAACUUCUGAGAUCUUGCUGGACCAGCAGUAUCGUUGUUGUGGCCAUCACAGGUUUCAGUGGAGCGCCCCCCCCCCCCCCCAAAAAAAAUGGUUACGAUACCUGUUCUUAACGCCUGUUUACACAUUUGUUGUUCUUGUUCACACAUACUGUACGUAUGUUUGUUGAUAUUAUUUAUGCUUGUUCCCAUUUUUUUGUUCCACAUUGUUAAUUUUUAUCUUAUGCCAGCUUAUACCUUUAUUAUUAAUGUUGUCCUUCCCUUCAGCCCUGAUGCACUCUGAAGCCUGAUGUAUGUGGAUGAUUUUUAAAAAAAAUAUAUUUAUAAUAUUCCUCCCUGUUCCUUCACUUUGUUCUUGUUAUUCCAGUUAGAUACACACAUUUACACACAUCUUGUUGUCUCACUCAGUAUUUUUUAUUAAACAAUAUUUUAUUCAUUCA